CAAGAGGUAGUUUAAUUAGAACUUCAGCUUUGGGUGCUGAUAGUGGGACUUUAGUCUCUCUCUUGA
rnacentral:tRNA from 1 species